rnacentral:rRNA from 1 species
AGCUCCAAUGGUAUAUAUUAGAGUUGUUGCGGUUAAAAGGCUCGUAGUUGGAUCUCUGCUGGGGAUGCCUGGUCCGCCCUUUGGGUGAGUAUCUGGCGCAAUCCAAGCAUUUUGUCCCAGGGGGGUGACUGCACUUGACUGUGUGGUGCACUCCUGGGAGCAUUUACUUUGAGGAAAGAAGGGUGUUCAAAGCAGGUGUUUGCCUUGGAUGCAGAAGCAUGGAAUGAUGUUUUGAGUUUUGGCCUCAUUUUGUUGGUUUCUGAAGUGAAGACAGUGUCCAAAGGGGAUGGUUGGGGGCAUUCAUAUUUGACUGUCAGAGGUGAAAUUCUUGAAUUUGUCAAGGAUGAACUAGGGCGAAGGCAUUUGCCAAGGAUGUCUUCA